GAUGAAGAACGUAGCGAAAUGCGAUAAGUAGUGUGAAUUGCAGAAUUCAGUGAAUCAUCGAUUCUUUGAACGCACAUUGCGCCCCUUGGUAUCCCGAGGGGCAUGCCUGUUCGAGCGUCAUUUCACCACUCAAGCCUGGCUUGGUGUUGGGCGACGUCCCCUUUGGGGACGCGCCUCGAAACGCUCGGCGGCGUGGCACCGGCUUUAAGCGUAGCAGAAUCUUUCGCUUUGGAAGUCGGGGCCCCGUCUGCCGGAAGACCUACUCGCAAGGUUGACCUCGGAUCAGGCAGGGAUACCCGCUGAACUUAAGCAUAUCAAUAAGCGGAGGA
rnacentral:misc_RNA from 1 species